UACGUAGGGUCCGAGCGUUGUCCGGAAUUAUUGGGCGUAAAGGGCGCGUAGGCGGCCUUUCAAGUGACGGGUGAAAUCCCUCGGCUUAACCGAGGAACUGCCUGUCAGACUGGAAGGCUUGAGACCGGGAGAGGUGAGUGGAAUUCCCAGUGUAGCGGUGAAAUGCGUAGAUAUUGGGAGGAACACCAGUGGCGAAGGCGGCUCACUGGACCGGUACUGACGCUGAGGCGCGAAAGCGUGGGGAGCAAACAGG
rnacentral:rRNA from 1 species